AUCCGGUAACUUGCUAUGUGGAGAUAUUCCGUUCUCGAUAACUAGGUUCAAACAGCUUGAGGAAUUGUUAGUAUCAUGUCUGCUUUUAUUUGGUAGAUUGGUCAUUAUCACGAAUCUUGCUUGCCCCUUUGUAAGGGAUAGAUUGGUCAUUUAUGGUGAUGUUACUAUGUAGGACAUUGAAGAACAAUCAGUUAACAGGGCCUAUCCUUUCAACCCUUUCACAGAUGCCAAAUCUCAAAACUCUGUAAGGGAUCUUGCUCAGAAUCAGCUCACUGGUGACAUUGCGAGUCUGAUUUACUGGAAUGAAGUAUUGCAGUAUCUGUGAGUACUUCUCCACUCUGUGUACUCCAUGUAAAUCACAAUUUAUAAGUCUAUCUCAAAUUAGUUCUAGUUCAUCUAGUAAUUUGGUAUGUUUUGGAGUCGCCCAUUAUUGUGACUACACUAUGGGUUGUGUUAUGUUAUGUGAUGGCGACUUUAAUUCUUGUUAUGUAAGAUGGACAUUGACCGUUAUGAUAUCCAGCAUUCCUUUUGGUGUGGGUGUUGUUCUUGUUCUUUCUUCAAUUGUUUAUGGUCUAUUGAUUGUUAUGACUUCCAGGGAUAUUUCUUACAAUCAAAUCAUUGGAGAGAUUCCUUA